rnacentral:rRNA from 1 species
UACGUAGGUGGCGAGCGUUGUCCGGAUUUACUGGGCGUAAAGGGAGCGUAGGCGGACUUUUAAGUGAGAUGUGAAAUACUCGGGCUCAACUUGAGUGCUGCAUUUCAAACUGGAAGUCUAGAGUGCAGGAGAGGAGAAUGGAAUUCCUGGUGUAGCGGUGAAAUGCGUAGAGAUUAGGAAGAACACCAGUGGCGAAGGCGAUUCUCUGGACUGUAACUGACGCUGAAGCUCGAAAGCGUGGGGAGCAAACAGG